rnacentral:rRNA from 1 species
UACGUAGGGUGCGAGCGUUGUCCGGAAUUACUGGGCGUAAAGAGCUCGUAGGUGGUUUGUCGCGUUGUUCGUGAAAACUCACAGCUCAACUGUGGGCGUGCGGGCGAUACGGGCAGACUGGAGUACUGCAGGGGAGACUGGAAUUCCUGGUGUAGCGGUGGAAUGCGCAGAUAUCAGGAGGAACACCGGUGGCGAAGGCGGCGUUCUGGACUGCAACUGACACUGAGGAACGAAAGCCAGGGGAGCAAACGGG